CACAAGCGGUGGAGCAUGUGGUUUAAUUCGAUGCAACGCGAAGAACCUUACCUACUCUUGACAUCCAGAGAACUUAGCAGAGAUGCUUUGGUGCCUUCGGGAACUUUGAGACAGGUGCUGCAUGGCUGUCGUCAGCUCGUGUUGUGAGAUGUUGGGUUAAGUCCCGCAACGAGCGCAACCCUUAUCCUUUGUUGCCAGCGGUCCGGCCGGGAACUCAAAGGAGACUGCCAGUGAUAAACUGGAGGAAGGUGGGGAUGACGUCAAGUCAUCAUGGCCCUUACGAGUAGGGCUACACACGUGCUACAAUGGCAUAUACAAAGAGAAGCGACCUCGCGAGAGCAAGCGGACCUCAUAAAGUAUGUCGUAGUCCGGAUUGGAGUCUGCAACUCGACUCCAUGAAGUCGGAAUCGCUAGUAAUCGUGGAUCAGAAUGCCACGGUGAAUACGUUCCCGGGCCUUGUACACACCGCCCGUCACACCAUGGGAGUGGGUUGCAAAAGAAGUAGGUAGCUUAACCUUCGGGAGGGCGCUUACCACUUUGUGAUUCAUGACUGGGGUGAAGUCGUAACAAGGUAGCCGUAA
rnacentral:rRNA from 1 species